AACGAGCGCAACCCUUGUCCUUAGUUACCAGCACGUUAUGGUGGGCACUCUAAGGAGACUGCCGGUGACAAACCGGGAGGAAGGUGGGGAUGACGUCAAGUCAUCAUGGCCCUUACGGCCUGGGCUACACACGUGCUACAAUGGUCGGUACAAAGGGUUGCCAAGCCGCGAGGUGGAGCUAAUCCCAUAAAACCGAUCGUAGUCCGGAUCGCAGUCUGCAACUCGACUGCGUGAAGUCGGAAUCGCUAGUAAUCGUGAAUCAGAAUGUCACGGUGAAUACGUUCCCGGGCCUU
rnacentral:rRNA from 1 species